AGCGAACGCUGGCGGCAGGCCUAACACAUGCAAGUCGAACGAACUCUUCGGAGUUAGUGGCGGACGGGUGAGUAACACGUGGGAACGUGCCUUUAGGUUCGGAAUAACUCAGGGAAACUUGUGCUAAUACCGAAUGUGCCCUUCGGGGGACAGAUUUAUCGCCUUUAGAGCGGCCCGCGUCUGAUUAGCUAGUUGGUGAGGUAAAAGCUCACCAAGGCGACGAUCAGUAGCUGGUCUGAGAGGGUGACCAGCCACAUUGGGACUGAGACACGGCCCAAACUCCUACGGGAGGCAGCAGUGGGGAAUCUUGCGCAAUGGGCGAAAGCCUGACGCAGCCAUGCCGCGUGGAUGAUGAAGGUCUUAGGAUUGUAAAAUCCUUUCACCGGUGAAGAUAAUGACUGUAGCCGGAGAAGAAGCCCCGGCUAACUUCGUGCCAGCCGCCGCCGUAACAC
rnacentral:rRNA from 1 species